rnacentral:rRNA from 1 species
UACGGAGGGUGCGAGCGUUGUCCGGAAUCACUGGGCGUAAAGGGCGCGUAGGCGGCCUGAUAAGUAGGGGGUGAAAUCUUGCGGCUUAACCGCAAGGCUGCCUUCUAAACUGUCAGGCUAGAGCACAGUAGAGGCAGGUGGAAUUCCCGGUGUAGCGGUGGAAUGCGUAGAGAUCGGGAAGAACAUCAGGGGCGAAGGCGGCCUGCGGGGCUGUUGCUGACGCUGAGGCGCGACAGCGUGGGGAGCAAACAGG